UACGGAGUGUGCAAGCGUUACUCGGAAUCACUGGGCAUAAAGCGCGCGUAGGCGGGUUUUCAAGUCGGUUGUGAAAUCCCUCAGCUCAACUGAGGAACUGCAUCCGAUACUGUCUGUCUUGAGGACGAGAGGGGAGAGUGGAACUUCUGGUGGAGCGGUGAAAUGCGUAGAUAUCUGGAGGAAUACCGGUGGCGAAGGCGGCAUCCUGGACCAUUACUGACGCUGAGGCGGCGAAAAGCUAGGGGAGCAAACGGGG
rnacentral:rRNA from 1 species